CCUACGGGGGGCUGCAGUGGGGAAUCUUAGACAAUGGGGGCAACCCUGAUCUAGCCAUGCCGCGUGGGUGAUGAAGGCCUUAGGGUCGUAAAGCCCUUUCGCUGGGGAAGAUAAUGACGGUACCCAGUAAAGAAGCCCCGGCUAACUCCGUGCCAGCAGCCGCGGUAAUACGGAGGGGGCUAGCGUUGUUCGGAAUGACUGGGCGUAAAGCGCGCGUAGGCGGAUCAUGCAAGUCAGGGGUGAAAUCCCGGGGCUCAACCCUGGAAUGGCCUUUG
rnacentral:rRNA from 1 species